CUAAGAAUAUUCCGCAAUGGACGGAAGUCUGACGGAGCGACGCCGCGUGGAUGACGAAGGCCGAAAGGUUGUAAAGUUCUUUUGCUGGGGAAGAAUAACCGCAGGAGGGAAUGCCUGUGGGAUGACAAGAACCGGCGAAUAAGCCCCGGCCAACUACGUGCCAGCAGCCGCGGUAACACGUAGGGGGGCGAGCGUUGUUCGGAAUUACUGGGCGUAAAGGGCAUGUAGGCGGCUUGGAAAGCCUGGCGUGAAAGUCUGCAGCUUAACUGCAGGGGUGCGCUGGGAACUGCUGAGCUUGAGUGACGGAGAGGGAGCUGGAAUUCCUGGUGUAGGGGUGAAAUCUGUAGAUAUCAGGAAGAACACCGAUGGCGAAGGCAAGCUCCUGGCCGAUGACUGACGCUGAGGUGCGAAAGUGUGGGGAUCAAACAGGAUUAGAUACCCUGGUAGUCCACACAGUCAACGAUGUGCACUAGGUGCUGGGGCGGUAGCUUCGGUGCCGGAGCGAACGUGGUAAGUGCACCGCCUGGGGAGUAUGCUCGCAAGGGUGAAACU
rnacentral:rRNA from 1 species